CGCAUCUUGCGCUCCUUGGUGUUCCGAGGAGCAUGCCUGUUUGAGUGUCAUUAAAUUCUCAACUCUCUCAUGCUGUUUGGCACAGGAGGGCUUGGAUUGUGGAGGCUUGCUGGCCACUCAUUUGAGGUCAGCUCCUCUGAAAUGCAUUAGCGGAACCGUUUGCGAUCUGCCACAAGUGUGAUAAAUUAUCUGCACUGGCGAGGGGAUUGCUCUCUGUGUUGUUCAGCUUCUAAUUGUCUCUACUUUGGUGAGACUACUACUUGAAUGCUUGACCUCAAAUCAGGUAGGACUACCCGCUGAACUUAA
rnacentral:misc_RNA from 1 species